rnacentral:rRNA from 1 species
GACGAACGCUGGCGGCGUGCUUAACACAUUCAAGUCUAACGGAAAGGCCCUGCUUUUUUUGUGUUCUCUUGUUGCGAACGUGUGUGUAACACGUUAUUAACCUGCCCUUUACUUUUUGAUAACUUCAGUAAACUUUUGCUAAUACCUGAUAGUAUCUCCUGCUGCAUGGUGGGGGUUGGAAAGUUUCGGCGGUUGGGGAUGGACUCGCGGCUUAUCAGCUUGUUGGUGGGGUAGUGGCUUACCAAGGCUUUGACGGGUAGCCGGCCUGAGAGGGUGACCGGAGACAAUGGGACUGAGAUACGGACCAGAAUGGAACGGGAGGCAGGAGUGGGGAAUAGUGCAAAAUGGGCGGAAGCCUGAUGAAGAAACGCCGCGUGCGGGAUGACGGCCUACGGGUUGAAAACAGAUUUCGACUGAGACGAAGAGUGAGUGACGGUAAUGGGUAAAGAAGGACCGGCUAACUACGUG